AUAGCCAUUGGGUUUUGCUGGUGGCCCAGCCAAAAACCAAAACUGUUAAUGUUUAUGACUCGCUGGGUGGUGACAACAAGGUUUUCUUUGAGCUUUUCAGAAAGUUCAUGAGCGUCCGGUCCAAUGUUAUGUCUGAUGGAAUGGAUCAGUGGCAUUUUUCAUCAACAACGCAGAACAGACAAACUGAUGGAACAAGCUGUGGCAUCUUUACUUUGAUGAAAGCUGAAUGUCUUGUGAACAAUCUCCCAGCACUGACACUGGGACAGUCGCACGUAGCAUUUUUCCGGAACUAUGUUCGGGGACGUCUGUUGGCCUCUGGGGACAGGCACACAUAUUUAUGUAAUGCCCUGCAGUGUAUUGACCCCAGAGGACAACUUAAGUGGAUGAACUGUGAUGUGUGUGGGCGUUGGGUGCAUGAGAAGUGCAUUGGAACUGGUUUGGACACUGAAGGCUUUCGAUGUGACAUUUGCAAUGUCCAGUACAGUUGAUAAGAUACUGAUUACAGUUGAUACUUCGAAAUAGGCAUUUAUAUAUGAUGGUUUUACAAUCAUAAGUAAGAAUUUGAAAGUGUGUUAAACUUCAUGACUUCAUAAUAAGUAUCAAACUGCUAGUUAGGCAGCAAUGGCGUGUACAUAUUUUAUUUUAUUGUUUUAUUGUGUGUGCUACAGUUUUUAUAUCAAAGUAUAACAGUCUACAGUGUUUCAUUAUUUUCUUGAAAGAAGUUACCGUUACAGCAAGUUGUAACUUAUGAUGUUAUAUUGUUCCAUUGUCAUAUCUAUGUAGAUAUGAUUUUAAGUUGUUUUUGUACUGUUAAUGAUAAUCCGUUUAGAACUACUUAUUGUAAGUCAUCAGCGAAACAUGUGAGUUUUGUAGUGAAGCAAUCAUGAACUUAUAUUUUAAGGGUAAAAUACACAUUGUUGCAUAGUUAUUGCCUGUACAUCAUAUCAUUCAACAAACAGAUGGUUACCGGUAGACCUUAAAGUUUCUGUUUUCUGGUUAAUAAACAACAGUUCAAUAAUUAAAAAAGAAAAAUACUCAAUCACUUGUGUCUUUAUAUUAAACCCAGACAUUUGAUACUAUUAAUAGAAUGUAUUCCUUGAAAAUAUUAUAACAAGAAUCGUUUGAAUGAUUUAUAAAAUAUUUUCCAAAAAAAGUAUCAAAUUGUAGUGAGAAAUUAAGCUCUGUUUAAAUGUUGCUGUUUGGUGUUUAUGUAAAUAUAUGUUACAACAGGGAAUCAUUAAUUCCAUAUAUUUUGUUGCUGUCUGAUAGUACUCUGCCUCUUUUUGUAUUGAAGACAAUACUUUUAAGAGACUUAAUAUUGUUUUAUGUUCAGCCUUAUUAUUUGAAUGCAUUUUUUUUCCACAAGUACCACGCUAUUUUACAGGAAAAGUAUACUUAAAAAUACUCACCAUCUGAUUUUGUUAGUCAUGCCUCUACAUCAUAACUUGACUGUUGUGUUCACAACAAACUUUUUGUUGUUGCUAUUUUCUUAGAAUAUCUAUUAUUAUUUGUUUUAUGAAACAUGUAUUGUUCUGAGGAGACAGUGUAUUAUUAUGACCCCCUUCGAAGAAGAGGGGGUAUAUUGCUUUGCUCAUGUCGGUCUGUCGGUAGGUCUGUCGGUCGGUCGGUCCGUCCACCAGGUGGUUUUCAGACGAUAACUCAAGAACGCUUGGGCCUAGGAUCAUGAAACUUCAUAGGUACAUUGAUCAUGACUCGCAGAUGACCCCUAUUGAUUUUGAGGUCACUAGGUCAAAGGUCAAGGUCCAGUGACCAGAAAUAGUAAAAUGGUUUUUGAAUGAUAACUCAAGAACGCAUACACCUAGGAUCAUGAAACUUCAUGGGUAGAUUUAUCAUGACUUGCAGAUAACCCCUAUUGAUUUUGAGGUCACUAGGUCAAAGGUCAAGGUCAUGGUGACCCGAAAUAGUAAAAUGGCUUCCGGAUGAUAACUCAAGAACGCAUACGCCUAGGAUCAUGAAACUUCAUGGGUAGAUUUGCUUUCAUUGCAUUUUGUUAUUCUAAACCUCUGUUAAUGAUCCAAAUAAUUACAGUGUUUGUUUUUUUUUCAGAAUGACUGACCUUUCAAAAUGUAUGCUGUAUUUUUAUUACAAUUGUUAUUUUCCUUCAUAUCCAAAGAUGCUUAAAAAUUUACACAAAGCAGUUGUUUAUUUAUUGCAAAAAAGAAGUUCAAUUUUCUUCUGCUAAUUAUGUAAUUUCACCACUGUAUUCAAAUGACUUUAAACAAAAAAUUUACUAUGCUGAAAUCAGUUACAAAUGUCUUUAUCCAAAAAAAUAAAAACAAAUAAAAAAACAACAAAUGAAGCAUAUUUUUGAAGUUGUUAAAACAAAAAAGAACAACUUUCUUUUCACCAAACAACGUUAAGAGACUUUGCUUUGUAUAAAUAAUACUCAUAUAAGUCGCCCCGUUGUUAUCAUUAUCAAUUGCAAUGUUAUUAUGUUUAUCUUAAAAUUUGUCAUAUCAGGUGUAUACAGAAUUUAAUGUAGGAACACCUACUUAUUAACAUUUUUGAUCUCCAAUUAAAUUUCAAGAUAUGGACCAUC